rnacentral:lncRNA from 1 species
GGAUAAACUGGUCCUCCUUUGAAAUGAACAAGAUCGAGCUAGAUCGAUAUAUGCCUAUAUCUACUACUGACCACGAUGGCUGAAUGGCCGGUUCCAACCCUAGCCUAGCUAGUUAUAUGGUCCAUCAAAAUUGAAAGCAUGCCAGUUUGAUUAGUCCAUGAAGAUGACCUUAAUGGAUCUUCCUAUCAAACUAUACUCAUCACCUGUCACUGUUCCAACAUCCGCAUGCACUAUUUGGAUCCAGAACCCUCUAAGUUUUUGAGAAAAUUAGAUAAAAAUCUAAAAUAAUAGACCUUUUUUUAAGAUAAACACAGACAUAUUUUUCUUUUAUUUUACACCCACUCCACAUAAGCAAACAUAUCAUAUAGAGCAAAUGUCUAUAAUUAAUAGUUUUCUUCAUUUUUCGGUUUCUCUAAUUUGCCCUUCAGACAGUAAAAAGCUAAAUUUGGUAUAUUUCUCAAUUUUAGCAUCAAUUUGAAACUCAAAUACUAACUAAAAUUUAGUUAGAUUUAACUUUGUCAUAAUCAAUUACAUUCUUUAAUUCCUCACCUUGUUAUUACUAACUUGAGUGUAUAUAUAUGCUAUAUACAGAAGCAUGUCAUUUGUAAUAGGAUGAUACUUUUCAUUCUUAAGCUCACAUUUGAUGUCUCUCUACAUAGUCGAAAAAUAUCUAAUUGUAAGGUACACGUUCUUGUUCUUUGAUUAAUUUUCUUCUUUUUAGGUAUAUUAUUAUACCAUUUCUCAUCCUAAUUGAGAGAACAUUUUACUCUCUACUACUUACGUUUCUAAUGUACCUUUUAAAUAGGACAUGAUAUGAUAAUAUACCUAUAAAGAAGAAACCUAAAAUUGGGUUUAGGGUAUAGGGUUAAGGUAUAGGGUUUAGGGUAUAGGGUUUAGGGUAUAGAGUUAGGGUAUAGGUUUAGGGUAUAGGGUAGGGUAUAGGGUUUAGGGUAUAAGGUAUAGGGUUUAGGGUAUAGGGUUUAAGGUAUAAGGUUUAGAUCAGAUAUCUUAUUCAUAUUAUAUUUUACCUUAUGUAUAAAUUAGAGAAUGAAUUCCUUUAAUCUAGAUUUUUUCAUAAAAUUAAAAAAAACUACAUGAUUCUUGCAAAUUGAUUGAAAAAUGUUAGUGUUAGAAGAAAAACUCAUAAUUAAGGUAUUUAAGACAACAUCAAUUAAGCUUAUUUAUAUUAAUAUGUUAUAGUUGAAUGGUGGCAAUUGUGUAAAAUUUAGAAAAAAUAGGACAUAAUAUUUAUCAUAAUUGAUACAUUUUAAAUGUCUAUCAGAUAGGAAUAUUAUGUGGGUUUUAUUUAAAACUACUCUUUAAAAUUAGGUGUAUAUGAAAAUUCCCCUAAGUUUUUUGUUUUGUUUUUUUUAAUUGAAAAUGUAGAUUGAAAGAACAAGCAUAACAUUUUACUUUCAACAUUUUGAUACAAUAAAGUUUUGGUAAUCUGCAUUGGUGAAAUCCUGUAAUUAAUGUGCUUAGGUAAAUAAAAUGCAGAUACAAAAACUAGCCAUAACAGUAUCUGACAAAGAUGAAUCAGAUUCCUGUGAACUGAAAUAUGGAAAAGGAACCGGUGCACUUGCAUAAGUUCCAAGUUUCAACCCACCAACCUAACACUGAAGUCCCUACCAGCAAAGACGGUCAAUCUCACAAGGCAUGGCCAGUGACGGUGAGACCAUCAUUUGAAUCAUCUCCUUUCACCCAACCCCAGCACCACCAGUCCACUAUGUGCCAGUGCAAAAGAACUAACUAGAUUUCCCACCAGUCCACCACUUACUUUCAAAUGAUAAGAGAUCGAUCUUAGAACUACUACAUGCACCACCCACAUCAAAAACAGAAAACUAAAAUGUGUACUGACCACAGAAAUGCUCAGAUGAGCCGACACUUCCCGAUACCCAAAUCUAAGUAUGAGGCAAGAGGGAAGCAUUGUCAUCAAAUGACUUGUGAGCUAAAACAGGUAUCAGGCAGUGCACUACUACUAAUUAAGCAUACCAUCAAGAUAUAUAGAUUUUGGCAAUGGCAUUUUCAAUUUCCCCACCUUACAUAGAGAAUCUGAAUCUGAUACUAUUCCUACCCGUAGUUUAGUUCCUUAAAUUUCAAUAACUCCUUUGGAGACGUUAGAUAUAAAAGAAAGUAUUGCUUAACCACAAGAGUCACAUAAAAGCAAUUCCUAGACACAAGGAAGGGAAACAUGGGUAAUAUACUAGAUCACAUUGCUUACCUCGUUUUCUAGAGGUAGGGAGGCUCUGCUGCUGGACUUUUUGGGCCUAAAAACUCUCAAGCAGGCCCAUUGGUCAUGCUUAAGGUCUCAAAGAGCCCAUUAUUAUAUUUGCACCGACGUCACAGGAACGCAAUCACCGAAGAAAAAGUCUCCGCGAAACAAGUGAUCAGAGUUGCUCCACGCCUCGCGAUGCUAUUGGACCGCUUGCGGGUCACUAUCUUCACGGCGCUAUCAGAGGUGGAACGUCCCCUCCAAUCUUUACGAUACGUCGAACGUCGCUCAUUGUAAAACAGGCAACUGAAAACAAUGGAGGCAGAAAAGAGAGAGCAGGCCGGCAAUGACGUCGUUUCCGGGAGGAAAAAGCAUAAGAAGGCGCCGGCAGCGAACGACGACGAGGUUGAGGAGUUCUUCGCUAUUAUCAGGAACAUACAAGUGGCAGUCAGCUACUUCAAGAGCGCUGACGUCGGCGGUGGAAGUAAAUUUGUGGACGGAGGUUUGAGGGCAAUGCUUGAGAGAAACGAGGAGGCAGACGGCGUCAAAGGGAAGGCCAAGACUAAGAAGAAGGAGAAUGUGGACUUUGAUUUGAAUGCGGAACCGGAACCGGAGCCGGAAUUUGAUCUGUGCUAAUUGGGUUUCAUGGAUACUGUUGAGUGUUGACCUUCAUUGAUCUCUUGUGAUCGUUAGUGAAGAUUGUGUUGCAAGAAUAAAAAUGUGAAAGCUGGAAGAAGAAGAUUGCUUGAAGAAGAAGCGUGUUCGAAUGUAUCAACUAUUUACACCUUUGAAUUUGUCAUCAACCAUUGUUGGGACUUUCAGUUUAAGAUAGUUUGAAACUCUACAUUGUUCGGUUAGACGUUAGACCAUACAUUACAUUUGGCAGUCAUUCAUUUGUAGUCUGUAUCUGUUAGAUCAAUGUGACAAUGCGUUUGUUCAACAAAUCUUCUACUGAUUAUAAUUUUUCAGAAAUGAUAAUAUUGGUUUUAUAAACAACUAAACACACCCUUAAAAAAACAACAUAUAGUAAAUUCUUUAUACUCCAGAAAAAGACUCAUGGUAAAACAUAAGUAGUCGGUCUUCUUCAUUUCCAAAAAAAAAAAAGAAGAAGAAGUCGGUCUUCUGUAAUUUAUUCUUGUUUUUGGAGCAAACCGAGCAAAGCAAAGUGGACUUGAAAGGAGGACCAAAACCAAAAGCAGUGGAAUUCCAAAUUGCAGAUGCAAAGUCGCAAACGUCACUUGCAUGACGCAGGGCAUCU